rnacentral:rRNA from 1 species
UACGUAGGGUGCAAGCGUUGUCCGGAAUUAUUGGGCGUAAAGAGCUCGUAGGCGGUCUGUCGCGUCGGCUGUGAAAACUCGGGGCUCAACUCCGAGCUUGCAGUCGAUACGGGCAGGCUAGAGUUCGGCAGGGGGAGACUGGAAUUCCUGGUGUAGCGGUGAAAUGCGCAGAUAUCAGGAGGAACACCGGUGGCGAAGGCGGUUCUCUGGGCAUUACCUGACGCUGAGGAGCGAAAGUGUGGGGAGCGAACAGG